rnacentral:rRNA from 1 species
UAGUCACGCCGUAAACGAUGUCUACUCGGAGUUUGGUGUCUUGAACACUGGGCUCUCAAGCUAACGCAUUAAGUAGACCGCCUGGGGAGUACGGCCGCAAGGUUAAAACUCAAAUGAAUUGACGGGGGCCCGCACAAGCGGUGGAGCAUGUGGUUUAAUUCGAUGCAACGCGAAGAACCUUACCUACUCUUGACAUCCAGAGAAUUCGCUAGAGAUAGCUUAGUGCCUUCGGGAACUCUGAGACAGGUGCUGCAUGGCUGUCGUCAGCUCGUGUUGUGAAAUGUUGGGUUAAGUCCCGCAACGAGCGCAACCCUUAUCCUUAUUUGCCAGCACGUAAUGGUGGGAACUUUAGGGAGACUGCCGGUGAUAAACCGGAGGAAGGUGGGGACGACGUCAAGUCAUCAUGGCCCUUAUGCCUAGGGCUACACACGUGCUACAAUGGCGAAUACAAAGGGUAGCGAAGCCGCAAGGUGGAGCCAAUCCCAGAAAGUUCGUCCCAGUUCGGAUUGGAGU